ensembl:lncRNA KLRK1-AS1 KLRK1 antisense RNA 1
GGGCUCAGUCCUUUGGAUGUUAAUCCAAGUGGACCAGUGCACCUAAAUAAUAAAUAUCCUCCUCAAUCCCUUGGUCUCUCUGAUUCCUUAUAUAUCCCGAUACAUUUCUGGGGGCUCAUCAGGAUUGGAGAUGACAGAUUUACUGUCCCCUUUGCCUGCGAUACUAGGUCCCCGGGGCCAGGAGAGACCCGGCAUCCAAGGUGUGCCACAGCUGAGCUUCACCCGGAUAUAUAGACCAGCUCUCCCCACGUCCCAGCACCCUGCCUGGCAGCGCAAUGGAACCGAGGAUGGGGCUGCAGGACGAUACCAGCACUUCAGGAACUGUGACAGAAUCUUGCUCCGCUGCCAAGGCUGGAGUGCACUGGUUCAAUCUCGGCUCACUGCAAACUCUGCCUCCCAAGUUCAAGUGAUUCUCCUGUGUCAGUUUCUUUAGGAAUACAGCACUCCAUAUUGUUACCAUAAUAAUGAAACGGAUUCCCAUGGCUACAGCGAUGAAGCAGCAGAAAAAAAAUGGAGAUGCUGUCAAAGAAAAAAGACACAGAUCAGAGAAAGAAGCAUAAAAGGUUUGGGUAUCUUUGUAUUUAAUAUAAAUAUUAGAGUUUUUUAAAUGAGAAGGUGGUAUUGAUCCUUUUUCUGCCUUAAUAAUUUUUUCCAGAACAGAACAUAAAUACCUCGCAAAUGAUCAAAAACUAGAGUACAACAAUGUAAUAUUUCCUUCUAUACUUCUCUACAAGUUCCCCAGUCAUCCCUAGAGUAAAUUAUGCUUAUG